AUGAAAGAAGACGUAGCAGGGAACGUGCUCACCCAGCGCGCGUGCUCUCAGUUCCGUUGCGAAGUUUGCCCCCUCGGCUCUUCCUGGUGUGACGUAUCAUCCAGCUGUUACGCUAGUGUACUACAUCUGCUUCCCGGAUUGUUCUGAAGAUGGCUUCCGAAAUGUCCGCAAUGUCGGGCGUAUCGUCCAUGUCAGGAAUCAGCUCGGAGAUGAGCGGACAGCCCACCAACCAGGAGGGUA